rnacentral:misc_RNA from 1 species
GAUAUGCGAUACUUGGUGUGAAUUGCAGAAUCCCGUGAACCAUCGAGUCUUUGAACGCAAGUUGCGCCUGAAGCCAUUAGGUUGAGGGACGUCUGCCUGGGCGUCUCACGUUGCGUCGCCCGCGCCCCCUCCCCCUCCGAAGGGAGGAGGAAGGGCAGCGGGCGGAUGUUGGCCCCCCGCCCGAUCGCGGUCGGCCCAAAAGCGAGUCCCCCGCUACGGACGACGCGUCGCGACGAGUGGUGGUUGACAAACCGUUGCGUCGCCUCGCGCGUGUCCAGGCCGUCUCGGGAGGCAUGUCGUGACCCUAUCGCGCCGCCGCCGAGGCGCUCCGAUCGCGACCCCAGGUCAGGCAGCAUUACCCGUUGAGUUUAA